rnacentral:rRNA from 1 species
AGAGUUUGAUCCUGGCUCAGAUUGAACGCUGGCGGCAGGCCUAACACAUGCAAGUCGAGCGAGAAAGCACUUCGGUGUGAGUACAGCGGCGGACGGGUGAGUAACGCGUAGGAAUCUACCCAGUAGUGGGGGACAACAGUCGGAAACGGCUGCUAAUACCGCAUACGCCCUAUGGGGGAAAGCGGGGGACCUUCGGGCCUCGCGCUAUUGGAUGAGCCUGCGUAAGAUUAGCUAGUUGGUGAGGUAAAGGCUCACCAAGGCGACGAUCUUUAGCUGGUCUGAGAGGAUGAUCAGCCACACUGGAACUGAGACACGGUCCAGACUCCUACGGGAGGCAGCAGUGGGGAAUAUUGCACAAUGGGGGAAACCCUGAUGCAGCCAUGCCGCGUGUGUGAAGAAGGCCCUAGGGUUGUAAAGCACUUUCAAUUGGGAGGAAAAGCUUGUCGUUAAUAGCGGCAAGCCCUGACGUUACCUUUAGAAGAAGCACCGGCUAACUCCGUGCCAGCAGCCGCGGUAAUACGGAGGGUGCGAGCGUUAAUCGGAAUUACUGGGCGUAAAGCGCGCGUAGGCGGUUGCCUCAGUCGGGAUGUGAAAAGCCCCGGGCUUAACCUGGGAACUGCAUCCGAUACUGGGCGACUAGAGUACGAGAGAGGGGGGUAGAAUUCCACGUGUAUCGGUGAAUGCGUAGAUAUGUGGAGGAAUACCAGUGGCGAAGGCGGGCCCCUGGCUUGAUACUGACGCUGAGGUGCGAAAGCGUGGGAGCAAACAGGAUUAGAUACCCUGUUAGUCCACGCCGUAUACGAUGUCUACUACCCGUUGGGAAACUUGAUUUCUUAGUGGCGCAGCUAACGCCUAAUAAACCGCCUGGGGGGGUCCGGCCGCAAGGUUAAAACUCAAUAGAAAGUGAACGGGGGACGCAACAGCGGUGGGAGCAUGGUGGUUUGAAUUCGAUGCAAUCUCAUAUAAAACCCUACCAGGAAUUUGCCAUCCACAACAACCUUUUCUAGAGAAAAAAAUGGUUGGCUUUCGGGAACUUCUGAAAACGGGAGCUGCAAUGGAGCUGAAGCUCAGCUCCGGGCGCUGGGAACGUUUGGGGUAAAUUAUCAGUUAACCGAGUGCACCAAACCCUCUGGGCUCCCG